rnacentral:rRNA from 2 species
UACGAACUGUGCGAACGUUAUUCGGAAUCACUGGGCUUAAAGGGUGCGUAGGCGGUUUUCUAAGUCACGUGUGAAAUCUUCUGGCUCAACCAGAAAACUGCGCGUGAUACUGGAGAACUUGAGUGAGGUAGGGGUGUGUGGAACUUCCGGUGGAGCGGUGAAAUGUGUAGAGAUCGGAAGGAACGCCAGCAGCGAAAGCGGCACACUGGGCCUUGUCUGACGCUGAGGCACGAAAGCUAGGGGAGUGAACGGG